UUGGAGGGCAAGUCUGGUGCCCGCAGCCGCGGUAAUUCCAGCUCCAAUAGCGUAUAUUAAAGUUGUUGCAGUUAAGAAGCUCGUAGUUGAACUUCGGGGUUAGUAGGUUGGUCAUGCCACUGGUAUGUACUGGUCUCACUGAUUCCUCCUUCCUGAUGAGCCGUAAUGCCAUUAAUUUGGUGUUGCGAGGAAUCUGGACUGUUACUUUGAAAAAAUUAGAGUGUUUAAAGCAAGCUAACGCUUGAAUACAUUAGCAUGGAAUAAUGAAAUAGGACGUUCGAUCCUAUUUUGUUGGUUUCUAGGAUUGACGUAAUGAUUAAUAGGGAUAGUUGGGGGCAUUAGUAUUCAAUUGUCAGAGGUGAAAUUCUUGGAUUUAUUGAAGACUAACUACUGCGAAAGCAUUUGCCAAGGAUGUUUUCAUUAAUCAAGAACGAAAGUUAGGGGAUCGAAGACGAUCAGAUACCGUCGUAGUCUUAACCAUAAACUAUGCCGACUAGGGAUCGGAUGAUGUUAUUUUUAAUGACUCAUUCGGCGCCUUACGGGAAACCAAAGUGUUUGGGUUC
rnacentral:rRNA from 1 species